rnacentral:rRNA from 1 species
GACGAACGCUGGCGGCGUGCUUAACACAUGCAAGUCGAACGGAAAGGCCCUGCUUUUGUGGGGUGCUCGAGUGGCGAACGGGUGAGUAACACGUGAGUAACCUGCCCUUGACUUUGGGAUAACUUCAGGAAACUGGGGCUAAUACCGGAUAGGAGCUCCUGCUGCAUGGUGGGGGUUGGAAAGUUUCGGCGGUUGGGGAUGGACUCGCGGCUUAUCAGCUUGUUGGUGGGGUAGUGGCUUACCAAGGCUUUGACGGGUAGCCGGCCUGAGAGGGUGACCGGCCACAUUGGGAAUGAGGUAAGGGCCAGGAUCCUACGGGAGGCAGCAGUGGGGAAUAUUGCACAAUGGGCGGAAGCCUGAUGCAGCAACGCCGCGUGCGGGAUGACGGCCUUCGGGUUGUAAACCGCUUUCGCCUGUGACGAAGCGUGAGUGACGGUAAUGGGUAAAGAAGCACCGGCUAACUACGUG